CUUUGCGCGUUGCCUAGAAUCACAGGCCUUAGUUUCUUGAAGCCGCCAUUUUCUCGAAGACCUAGUUUUAGUUGUGUCUGUAUAACGGUAAAACGGUUUCUGUAACCAGACACACACACACACGGCACGCUAAUGACAUUUGGACUUGCGCGCGAGCGUUAUCCAGGCGUUCUGAUUGGCUCAACCUUCUGUCAGUCAGUCGGUCCAGCCCAACGCAGUUGCCUACGCCCCCACUCCCGGAAGUGGCACCCAUGGUCGGUGCUCGGUGCGUGUUUCUAGGUAAGGAGUGGCUGGCCUGUCAUGGCGGCCUGGGUAGCAGCAGCCGCCACUGCAGGGGUCCUUGCUGCUAUUCUGCUGUACUGUCUACAGGAAGCAGGUACUCCCCUGGCAAUGUCGUGCAGCUCAGUGAAGCACAGACAUGGCAUUCAGGGCUGUGCAGAGUCACAAUCAUAUAAUACACCAACGUGCUCCCACUGCCACCCUGUAAUAAAAUAUUUCAACUGUAGAGGAAAGGGGA